AAGGAUGGUUCGGAGUGCGCAUUUGCCGCAAAAUCGCGGGCGGCGCUGAGAUUACAUCCGUAAAACCUGAUCUAGAUAGUGCUAGCGAAGGGAAACAUUAUGACAACAUG
rnacentral:ncRNA from 2 species